rnacentral:misc_RNA from 1 species
AAAGAAAAAAAAUUAGCAUUUGACCCAUGACUGCCGGGUGAACGACGUCGGAUUAUCAUAAUGAUGAUACAUUCAUGACGGCCGUAUCAAUCAAACUCACCUACCCAGGGGGGUGCAGAAACGCCCGUGGAGAACGAACAGCGAUUAAAAUAUCGUCUGCGUUUACGCUCGCGGCUGAUUAAUGAUUCUUCCAAGUAGACAACCUCACGCGUGAGUAUUUGAAAUUUUCUCUCCCGAUGUGCCACUUUCAACUCAAACAUUAGUUGCAACAAAUAUAUACAUCCCUAUUGAAAUGCAGCUCGUAAAAUUCGCACGAAAUAAAUUAGGGUAAGGAUAUCAUUGAAGUUAAACGUAGAACUCUGUUUUUGAUGACAAGUCAAAUUCCACCUGUUCGUUUUUGUACAUCUCGACGGUCU